rnacentral:rRNA from 1 species
AUGCCGCAACCCGACGCGCUCCACCGGGCCUCCACCACGCCCGACAGUUCAGGGCCCGGCCGCUGCCCGUGCCGCCGGCCGACGGGGCCGCACGGCAGCGAGCGAGCUGGGAUGAAGUCAGGCGUGGAGGUGGACGGCGGCUCCGAUCCUGGUGACGGCGCCGCUGGACUUCGGGAUGGAUGGAGAGAGGGUAGCGAGAGGGUUCCGGAUCUGCUCUUUGUUGUGGCUGGGUAUCAGAGGGCUGAAAGGGGGUAUGUUACUGGCUUUGUAAGAUCAUCGUGCAGUCUUAUGCUUAUACCACAUCUCUAG